rnacentral:tRNA from 1 species
GGUCCCGUGGUAGAGUGGCUAUACAGAGCUCUGCAAAAGCUCGUACAUCGGUUCGAAUCCGGUCGGGACCUCAA